rnacentral:rRNA from 1 species
CAGUCGCCGCGGUAAUACGAAGGGUGCAAGCGUUACUCGGAAUUACUGGGCGUAAAGCGUGUGUAGGUGGUUGUUUAAGUCUGUCGUGAAAGCCCUGGGCUCAACCUGGGAAUUGCGAUGGAUACUGGGCGACUAGAGUGCGGUAGAGGAUAGUGGAAUUUCCGGUGUAGCAGUGAAAUGCGUAGAGAUCGGAAGGAACAUCUGUGGCGAAGGCGACUAUCUGGGCCAACACUGACACUGAGACACGAAAGCGUGGGGAGUAAACAGGAUUAGAUACCCGUGUAGUCCCUGUCUCUUAUAC